CCUACGGGUGGCAGCAGUGAGGAAUAUUGGUCAAUGGACGAGAGUCUGAACCAGCCAAGUAGCGUGAAAGAUGACUGCCCUAUGGGUUGUAAACUUCUUUUAUAUGGGAAUAAAAUGUUCCACGUGUGGGAUUUUGUAUGUACCAUAUGAAUAAGGAUCGGCUAACUCCGUGCCAGCAGCCGCGGUAAUACGGAGGAUCCGAGCGUUAUCCGGAUUUAUUGGGUUUAAAGGUAGCGUAGGUGGAUUGUUAAGUCAGUUGUGAAAGUUUGCGGCUCAACCGUAAAAUUGCAGUUGAAACUGGCAGUCUUGAGUACAGUAGAGGUGGGCGGAAUUCGUGGUGUAGCGGUGAAAUGCUUAGAUAUCACGAAGAACUCCGAUUGCGAAGGCAGUUCACUGGACUGCAACUGACACUGAGGCUCGAAAGUGUGGGUAUCAAACAGGAUUAGAUACCCCUGUAGUC
rnacentral:rRNA from 1 species